rnacentral:rRNA from 1 species
UGGGGAAUAUUGCACAAUGGGCGAAAGCCUGAUGCAGCAACGCCGCGUGAGUGAUGAAGGUCUUCGGAUUGUAAAGCUCUGUCUUUUGGGACGAUAAUGACGGUACCAAAGGAGGAAGCCACGGCUAACUACGUGCCAGCAGCCGCGGUAAUACGUAGGUGGCGAGCGUUGUCCGGAUUUACUGGGCGUAAAGGGUGCGUAGGCGGAUGUUUAAGUGAGAUGUGAAAUACCCGGGCUUAACUUGGGUGCUGCAUUUCAAACUGGAUAUCUAGAGUGCAGGAGAGGAGAGUGGAAUUCCUAGUGUAGCGGUGAAAUGCGUAGAGAUUAGGAAGAACACCAGUGGCGAAGGCGAUUCUCUGGACUGUAACUGACGCUGAGGCACGAAAGCGUGGGUAGCAAACAGGAUUAGAUACCCUGGUAGUCCACGCCGUAAACGAUGAGUACUAGGUGUAGGAGGUAUCGACCCCUUCUGUGCCGCAGUAAACACAUUAAGUACUCCGCCUGGGAAGUACGAUCGCAAGAUUAAAAC